AGUGAACGCUGGCGGUAGGCCUAACACAUGCAAGUCGAACGGCAGCACAGUAAGAGCUUGCUCUUACGGGUGGCGAGUGGCGGACGGGUGAGGAAUACAUCGGAAUCUACUUUUUCGUGGGGGAUAACGUAGGGAAACUUACGCUAAUACCGCAUACGACCUACGGGUGAAAGCAGGGGAUCUUCGGACCUUGCGCGAUUGAAGGAGCCGAUGUCGGAUUAGCUAGUUGGCGGGGUAAAGGCCCACCAAGGCGACGAUCCGUAGCUGGUCUGAGAGGAUGUCCAGCUACACUGCAGCUUAGACUGGGUCCAUACUCCUACGGGAGGCAGCAGUCUGGACUAUUCGGCAAUGGACGCAAGCCUGAUCUCGGCCUACCGCGUAGGUGAAGAUACCGUCAGGGUUGUACAGCUCUUUUGUUGUGAUGGAUAUUUAGUAGGUUCAUACCUUCCUGUUGUGACGGUACCUGGUGAAUAAGCCCCGGCUAACUCCGUG
rnacentral:rRNA from 1 species